AGCGAACGCUGGCGGCAGGCCUAACACAUGCAAGUCGAACGGACCCUUCGGGGUUAGUGGCGGACGGGUGAGUAACACGUGGGAACGUGCCUUUAGGUUCGGAAUAGCUCCUGGAAACGGGUGGUAAUGCCGGAUGUGCCCUUCGGGGGGAAGAUUUAUCGCCUUUAGAGCGGCCCGCGUCUGAUUAGCUAGUUGGUGGUGUAACGGACCACCAAGGCGACGAUCAGUAGCUGGUCUGAGAGGAUGAUCAGCCACAUUGGGACUGAGACACAGCCCAAACUCCUACGGGAGGCAGCAGUGGGGAAUCUUGCGCAAUGGGCGAAAGCCUGACGCAGCCAUGCCGCGUGAAUGAUGAAGGUCUUAGGAUUGUAAAAUUCUUUCACCGGGGACGAUAAUGACGGCACCCGGAGAAGAAGCCCCGGCUAACUUCGUGCCAGCAGCCGCGGUAACAC
rnacentral:rRNA from 1 species